AGCGAUUAUGUACUCGUCAGAACUAAGGAAGAUAUUCCUGACGAAGUGGGCAGUUUGCAAUUCGAUGAUAUAUCUGAUCGCGCGGUGCGCGUGUCCUGGUCUCCGCCAAAAAAGGCUAACGGCGUUCUGAUCGGCUACAAGCUCUCCUACCAAGUCAAAGACAACAAUGACACUUACAAAGAAGAAAUAUUACCACCAAACGUCACUAGCAUACGAGUGGAACAUUUACAGGCGAGCACGCAGUACGUGGUGUGGGUGAGCGCGCUGAGCGGCGUGGGCGCGGGC